rnacentral:rRNA from 1 species
GCAACAGCUCAAAUUUGAAAUCUGGCCUUUUGGCCGAGUUGUAAUUUGGAGAGGAUGCUUUUGGCGCGGUGCCUUCCGAGUUCCUUGGAACAGGACGCCAGAGAGGGUGAGAGCCCCGUACGGUUGGACACCAAGCCUUUGUAAAGCUCCUUCGACGAGUCGAGUAGUUUGGGAAUGCUGCUCAAAAUGGGAGGUAAAUUUCUUCUAAAGCUAAAUAUUGGCCAGAGACCGAUAGCGCACAA